AUGGUGGAAGACCAGCCCUACUACUGGAGUACUGGCCCGAGGUUUCCAGGCCGACGGCGGCGAGGUUUCCCCGGCGAAUCCCCCAUGGCAGCGGUGCCCUCCGCCGCCGCGCCGCCGGUUCCGGUCUCCCCCGGCGAGAGAUGGCCGCCGCUCGAGUCGAGCCCCGACGUAUUCAACCAGCUCAUGUGGUCGCUGGGUGUCCCGGAGGACGUGGCGGAGUUCCACGACGUGUACAGCCUCGACGCCGAUGCGCUGGAGAUGGUGCCCCAGCCUGUGCUCGCCGUCGUCUUCUGCUUCCCCGAUCCAACCCAGGAUGCAAGUAAUCCUUCACAGCAUCUUUUAAUUACUGGAGAGAAGGAAACUUUGUUUUUCAUAAAACAAAUUGAAUCACUAGGAAAUGCUUGUGGAACUAUUGCGCUACUUCAUGCUGUUGGAAAUGCAUAUUCAGAAAUCAGUUUGUCGGAGAAUUCUUUCUUGGACAUGUUUAUCAAAUCAACAUCUGGCAUGACUUCAUACGAGCGUGCUGUGUUUCUUGAGAAGGAUGAUGACAUGGCAAGAGCUCACUUAUCGGCUGCCAGUGCCGGUGACACAAAGCUAUCUGAUGACGUUGAAGAGCAUUAUAUAUGUUUUGUCGAAUGUGAUGGAACACUCUAUGAGCUUGAUGGUAUGAAGCCUGGACCAAUAAAUCAUGGCCCAUCAUCCUCUAAAAGCUUACUGCAGGAUGCUGUGAAUAUCAUUAAGGCCACCAUGCACAACAUUCCCAACUCGGUGAACUUCAACGUAAUAGUGCUAUCAAGAAAAGCAGAGUAAAGCAAAACAGAGCUUUUUCAGAUAACUGAUUGAGGCCAUAAAGGUGAAGGGCUAUCUAGUUCAGCAAAUUACACAGACUUCACACUCGUUCUGUCUUCUACUUGAACUACCUUGAGCUGCCACGGUCUACCAGGAAGAAAAUUAUCGUCGUGAGUCAGAGAAUGUAUACAUCACAACUUUCCAUGAAUAAUCGACUGAUCCAACAUGACUAUUGCAGAUUCACUCAGCAUCUGGACCUCAAAUUUAAUAAAGUUUCAGUUACCUAGGAGAUGGGCUUGCCCAUGCCCAUCCAGGAGGGAUGCACCAGCUGAUCAACCAGCUGCGACAUAUUUCACCUGUUGGCCCUGUAGCUGCUCCCUUUCUCCCUUGAUCGGCUGAUCGCAAUGCAACAAGACACCUUUCUAUGUCUAUUCUCUGGUCAGUUCUGACGUACUCCCUCCGUCCCUUAAUAUAAGGGAUUUUGACAUUUUACUCGCACUGUUUGACCAUUCAUCUUAUCCACAAAAUUUUGGAAUUAUUAUUUUGUUUGUGACUUACUUUAUUAUCCAAAAUACUUUAAGCACAACUUUCCGUUUUUUAUAUUUGCGCAAAUUUUUUUGAAUAAGACGAGUGGUCAAACAGUGCAAGAAAAAUAUCAAAAUCCUUUAUAUUAAGGGACGGGAGUAGUAGUCUAGUCAGCAUGAGCCCGUGGCCAUAUCUUGUCUUAAGAAAGAUUAAAGUAAUCGUACCAUUUUUUUUCUUUCUCUUCUUCAGCUAUUUCUCAAACCAGCAUGGUGACUUGACAUUUACACCGCCUAAUAUCGCUCACUCAUUGCCACUUCUGAUGCAACGUUAUUCUGAAUCUCUUCAAUAAUAUAUUGACCUCAUUGUGAAUUUAUGAUAAAAGGAAGUACGCUAAGAAUGUUUGCUACACCAUUCCCUUGC